rnacentral:rRNA from 1 species
CACAUGCAAGUCGAGGGGAAACGACAUCGAAAGCUUGCUUUUGGUGGGCGUCGACCGGCGCACGGGUGAGUAACGCGUAUCCAACCUGCCCACCACUUGGGGAUAACCUUGCGAAAGUAAGACUAAUACCCAAUGAUAUCUCUAGAAGACAUCUGAAAGAGAUUAAAGAUUUAUCGGUGAUGGAUGGGGAUGCGUCUGAUUAGCUUGUUGGCGGGGUAACGGCCCACCAAGGCAACGAUCAGUAGGGGUUCUGAGAGGAAGGUCCCCCACAUUGGAACUGAGACACGGUCCAAACUCCUACGGGAGGCAGCAGUGAGGAAUAUUGGUCAAUGGACGAGAGUCUGAACCAGCCAAGUAGCGUGCAGGAUGACGGCCCUAUGGGUUGUAAACUGCUUUUAUAAGGGAAUAAAGUGAGUCUCGUGAGACUUUUUGCAUGUACCUUAUGAAUAAGGACCGGCUAAUUCCGUGCCAGCAGCCGCGGUAAUACGGAAGGUCCGGGCGUUAUCCGGAUUUAUUGGGUUUAAAGGGAGCGUAGGCCGGAGAUUAAGCGUGUUGUGAAAUGUAGAUGCUCAACAUCUGCACUGCAGCGCGAACUGGUUUCCUUGAGUACGCACAAAGUGGGCGGAAUUCGUGGUGUAGCGGUGAAAUGCUUAGAUAUCACGAAGAACUCCGAUUGCGAAGGCAGCUCACUGGAGCGCAACUGACGCUGAAGCUCGAAAGUGCGGGUAUCGAACAGGAUUAGAUACCCUGGUAGUCCGCACGGUAAACGAUGGAUGCCCGCUGUUGGUCUGAAUAGGUCAGCGGCCAAGCGAAAGCAUUAAGCAUCCCACCUGGGGAGUACGCCGGCAACGGUGAAACUCAAAGGAAUUGACGGGGGCCCGCACAAGCGGAGGAACAUGUGGUUUAAUUCGAUGAUACGCGAGGAACCUUACCC